GGGAGACACCAGCUUCCCUGGGUCCACGUGCCGUUCUUCUCCUGGGCAUGUAAGCUAAUGAUCACAGGUCUUCUAACACUGGGGCCUUCCCAGCACCCCAUGGGAACCAGGCCCAGAGACAAAACCUACUGAGAGAGCCAGCACCAGUGGUGAGCCAUCCCUGCAGACCUUUCUGGCCUGGCACUCUGAAUGUGGCCCACUGUGACCAGUACCCACUCAAGCCAGUUUCAGCAGAAAAGAACUUAUGAGAUCACUAAAGCAUCCCAUGGUGCCCGGGGCUGUGACUCAGGAAAAUUCUAGAACUGAAAAUGGGUUACGCCACAGAGACUGCUUCUCAUCUCCAUAUCUCCAAGCUCCUGACAGCACGACUUGGAGCAACCUAGAUGGGGGCACCCUGCUGUGCAUAAAUGGGAAGACAAGUACCCCAGAUGAUCCUCCGGGCAGAUGCCACCUAAGGGAGCCCAAUCUUUGCAGAGCCCAGCCAAUCUUUGCAGAUGCCCACGAUGCUGACUGAAAGGACUUUUGAGGAUGCUUCAGAAAACAUUUCAGGAGUGGGCUGUCAAUCACACCCACACUCUAUGAAUAUGAGUAAGUGCGUGGAUAUUCAUGAGCAUCCCAGCGACCUCAAAGUUCCUCCUUACAACAAUAGCAGGAUUCCUUUUGUUGUUAAGCAGCCUCUUCACAUUAAGUGAUCUGCUGGGUCAGAAGAGGAGGCUGGGAAGAAAAUACACGUCUCUCCUCUCUGUUCCUCAGUCUCCCAGCCAGCCAGGGCUAAGAUUUACUUACUGUAGCUAAAAUGCUUGGUGCCUCGAGGGCAAGCAGCUGCUUUCAGAAUGCAAGCAUGACCCCUUGUGAGCCGCUCACCUCACCCAGCUCUACAUGGGGAGACUGUGUUCAAACUGCAUUUCUGUAUCUAGAAUGCUACUUCAGAGAGUUUUUUCUUAAAACAUUCUUUUAUGACCAGCUUAUAUGGGGUCAAAGGGGAUCCUCACACUUUAAAUGGAGAACAAAUGGCAUAAUCAAAGAGGAUGUUCUGCAAAUAGAUGUUUAACAGCACAGGAAGGUACUCAAAUUUCAGGAAGCCUGUCAUGCUGCUCUCCCUCGGAACUCUGAUCCUUCUUCCACCAGCUGAAUUGUGCCUCUGAAAGUCAGUGAGGAUGCUCUGCAACCAGCAAGGAGCUGUAGGCACAUGGGCCGUUGAGGCAACGCUCUGGAAACCAAGAGGUCUUUGGUAAACAGGGCAGAGCAGGGAGAACCACAGGACUACCUCUUGAAGCUGAGAUGGCCAGAGGGUCAUUUCCUGUCACCAUAAAAUCCAAAUGGAACUAAGGGAGACCCAAGUCACACAUCUAGACAGCUUAUGUUAUGAGUGUAUCUUGUCUCUGAUGGUAAACACAGUGUCUUCUCCUCACGCCUAGGAUGAUGCCUUCUGGGAGAAACUCCUUGAUCUCCAGCCUGAAUCCUCCCUGCCCCAGACCCCCUACACUCAGCUUCCCAGGCACUCAGACACUGCCUUCUGCUGCCUUGGAUUUUUCCCGCCUCUGUCUCUACCCACCAGGCACUACAAACUCCUUAAAAAAGGAGUUCGGCUGUAUGACUUCAAGUAACUCCUUGCUAGAUUACACACAGAACUUCAUGUGUUUAAGGCAUAAAAUAUGAAAUCUUCAACUGAGGCUUUAUGUUUUUAAUAUAGUCAAAUAUUUUAUUUUUCCCCAGAAUUUAAACUUCUGUCAAAGUUGUCACUCCAAACUAGAAUGCAUCUCUAAGAUACAGUGCAUCUCUAACAGAACUCAACAUGUGGCUUUUCUAAGUAGCCAGGGUGCUGAGAGCACAUGGAGCCCUCAGGGCUGGACUCAGGGAGAAGAGACAGGGGAGGGGAGCGUCCCAGAACAGAGCAGGCUCAAAGGAGCGAAGCCAUGUCAUUCAAUCUGGGGCACAUCUGGUGAUGCUCAAUCUCCAGCCCUGAUGGUCCAAGCCAAUUAACUACUACCAGAUAUGACUCUCGUCAUCUUGUCCUCAAACCCACCCAGGCUUGAGGGCUACUGUGAGGCAGGGAGCCAAGGAGAACACCUGCAGCUGGAAGUCCAGAUGUUCAGGGACUUCAGUGUGAACUUUGCAGUAUUAAAAAUAAAAUCAAAAACUUAAAGAGAAAAGUUAAGUAU
rnacentral:lncRNA from 13 species